UGCGCCGCGCCGCCGCCGCCGGCGACUGCCCCCACGCUCCUGCCACUCCCAUGGACCGCCCCGCCCGGGCGCUGCCUGCCGCUCGCCUACCCCCACCCCAAGUUCCCCAGCCGGCCAUCCCCGGCUCCCCGCGCUACCAGGACUGCCGCUGUUGCUCUAGCGGGGCGCCGUCGCCGCUCUGCUCCGGCCACAUCCCGUCUCCGGUCUCCUCGUCUCCCCGCGCAACUAGGAGUCCGUCCACGUCCAGGACUGAUUUGUUGGCUCUCCGCUCUCGGCUGGAAAUAGAAACUGAAUGUGGAAUAAUUAAUAAAGAUGGCUGCAUGCAUCCAUUGAUGCAGAGGCCGGGGGUUUCCUCCUUUUCAAAAAAAUAGAAGAUGAAGAGAUAGUUUUCAUCGUUGUAGGCAAUGGAAGGGCCAGAGGGAAACACCAUUGUCCCUUUGGUAUAUCGACUCAUAGAGUUAGCAUUGGUUUUGCCGGUUGCAACCGCAUUAGUAGAAAGAGCUUUCUCAGUUAUGAGUAUUAUCAAGACCGAGUUUAGGAAUAAGAUGGGUGAUGAUUGGUUGAAUUAUAAGAUGAUGUGCUAUAUUGAGGAAGAUGUAUUUGCAAGUUUUGCCGAUGAUGAUAUUUUAUACCGCUUUCAAGCCUAUAGAGAUCGCAGAGGGCUUUUACCUCCUCGUAGAGGUAUUGCUUCUUCUUCUGCCAUUUGUCAUGUUAUGGGAGGCACAAAUGAAAUAAGCAUCUGCCAUUUGUCUUGAAGUUUGUGCAUGAAGAAUGUGUGCGCAUCGCGCGAACUUGGGAACUUGAUGGUGUGUGGGAGUUGGACUCAACCUAAUCUCGUGAAGAAUGUCGGUUAUCGUGUGAAUUGGGACCUGAUGGUAUGCUGUUGUUGAUUUGGUUAUUGAUCUAGCCAUGGAAAAUUUGUAGCUUCUUUACUCAAACAACAAUGCAGGGAUAGUGGAUAUUAUUUCUGUUUUUUUUUCUCGAAAAGAGAAACGAGCUUUGCUUCCCUUUAGGUGUGAGCCAUUGCAAGAUUGGAGCCGAGAUGACUGAACUUGUCAUCAUUUUGGUUAUCGAACUUACUAUUUUUCAAGUGUGUGGCAAGAUGAACAAGAAGAGGAAACUCAACA